rnacentral:rRNA from 1 species
UACGGGGGGGGGCAAGCGUUGUUCGGAAUUACUGGGCGUAAAGGGCUCGUAGGUGGCCAACUAAGUCAGACGUGAAAUCCCUCAGCUUAACUGGGGAACUGCGUCUGAUACUGGAUGCUUGAGUUUGGGAGAGGGAUGCGGAAUUCCAGGUGUAGCGGUGAAAUGCGUAGAUAUCUGGAGGAACACCGGUGGCGAAGGCGGCAUCCUGGACCAACACUGACACUGAUGAGCGAAAGCCAGGGGAGCAAACGGG